rnacentral:lncRNA from 1 species
GUUUUGGUAAAAAGCGUCGAAAUUCGACAUUGGACAAUCUUGCAAGACAUUUUCCCGAAGCCAAUGCGUUUUUAUUUGUGGUGCGAGUGCUGUAAAAUUCCGGAUUUUAAUUGGUCUAUCUAAGCACUUUUGUAGGAAUAAUUUAUGAAAACAAAAUUUUAUAUCUUCUGAUAUUUUAAACAGCGGUAACUUUUGAUAACUUACCAUUUUCCAAAACCUGACCAUGGCGAGGAUUAUUCAUUUUUGAAAAAAUCAGCUUUGACCGUUC